AACUCAUGGUUCGGGCAUUUCCUAAACAGAGAUUUUAACCUCUCCCAAGUUUCACAUAAGCUUUCACCUACAAGCUGAGAGAAAGAAGAAAUCACAGUUUUACAAUC